GUGUUAUUUUGAUAACACAUAUAAUAAAAUUGGAAGGAUACAGAGUAGAUCAGCAUGGCCCCUGCGCAAGGAUGAUACGCAAAUUCGUGAAGUGUUCCUUAUUGCC